UUACUUACACCCAACUCGCCAGAGAAUUACGAGCCAAGCUUAAAACUCAAAGGACUUGACGGUUCCCCACAUCCACCUAGAGGAGCCUGUCCUGUAAUUGAUAACCCCCACUAAACCUCACCCCUUUUAGCUUAUCAGCCUGUAUACUUCCGUCGUCAACUUACCACGUGAGCGUUACUCAGUAGGUUCCAUCGCCCAAACCGCACAAACGCCAGGUCAAGGUGCAGCAGAUAAAGGGGGAAGAGAUGGGCUACAUUCUCUAGCAUAGAGCAUACGAAAGGCCGAGAUGAAACCUUGGCCAGAAGGCGGAUUUAGUAGUAAAGAGUGAGCAGAGUGCACUCUUUAAUGUGGCACUGGGGUGCGUACACACCGCCCGUCACCCUCCUCGAAAAAACUCUAGACCCAGUACUUAACAACUUACUUAUACUAAGAGGAGGCAAGUCGUAACAUG
rnacentral:rRNA from 1 species